UCCACAGGCAGCUUUCCGGGUCAUGUGGCCAGCAUGACUAAACUGCUUCUGGCGCAACGGGACACUGUGAUGUGUGCCAGAGAGCACGGAAAUGCCGUUUAAAGGUUGAGGGCACCGGGAAUAUAUUUAGCUUGGGGGAAGACUGAGUAUGUGAUAGGAUUCUUUAAAUACUGAGAUAUAAAGGUGAGCAUACUGUAGCUCUUGGCUGACCCAGAAGCCUGGAGUAUAUCUUCAGUUACAGGACAGCUGAUUUCAUGACAACAUUAGGAGACAUUUCUUAAGAAUAAGAGAUCAGACAGUGGAACCAACUACCUAGAAGACUGAUGGAGCUCUCUCUCAUUGGAGGUUCUGCCAGCCGAGGCUUGGGCAGCCAUUUCUGGGGGAUGCUGUAGCUCAGGAUUUCCUCCAUGAAGCAGCAAGUUGGACUAGAUGUCAUUCAUGGUCCCCUCCAGGUCUGUGAAUCUAACUCCAAAGUACCAAACUCUCUCGCAUCCUUUGACAUCUUAUUAAAAAAAUAGCCUCCUCUCCUUUCUGUUUGAAGUCCAACCCUGUAACAUCCCUAAUUGUUUCUGAAAGGCAGCAGCCUGAUUUCUUCUGGAGGAUCAUUCCACGGGUUAGGAGCCAUUACCGAAAAGACCCUGCUCUGCACCUCCAUGGUACAGUCAACAGAACCUCCCCAUCAGAUUGCAAUAAUCUGGGUGAUUUGGUAUGGGAGAUGGUAGUCUCUCAGAUGGUGUGCUUCUCAGCUGGUUAGGGCCUUAUAAGUCAAGAUCAACAUAGGGACAUUAUACAGAGUCAGAUCAUUGGUCUAUAAAAGGACCCCUGACCAUUGGGUCUAGUUGUGACCGACUCUGGGGUUGCGGCACUCAUCUCGCUUUAUUAGCCAAGGGAGCCGGCGUACAGCUUCUGGGUCAUGAGGCCAACAUGACUUAGCCACUUCUGGCGAACCAGAGAAGCACACGGAAAUGCUGUUUAUCUUCCCACCAGAGCGGUACCUAUUUAUCUACUUGCACUUUGACAUGCUUUCGAACUGCUAGGUUGGCAGGAGCAGGGACCGAGCAACGGGAGCUCAUCCUGACGUGGGGAUUCGAACCGCCGACCUUCUGAUCAGCAAGUCCUAGGCUCUGUGGUUUAACCCACAGAGCCACCUGCCUCCCAUUGGUCUAUCUAGCUCAGUAAGUAAGUAAGUAAGUAAGUAAGUAAGUAAGUAAGUAAGUAAAUAAAUAAAUAAAACAACAACAACAAUAAUACACUGGCUGGCAGCAGCUCUCCAGGGUUUUAGGCAGGGGUCUCUUCCAUUCCUACCUUGAUAUGCUCUGGCACUGAGCCAAGGCCCCAUCCCCAGGACCUCCCUGCGGUUCCCUGCCUUCCAACAUCUGCCACCCGAGGCAGCUGCCUCACCCAGCCUAACAGUAGCUCUGUCGCCGUCAUCAAAUGAUCCCAAGUUUGGAGUGUUAAAAGAAAGAGUGAAAACAUCAGCCUGUCCUCUCUGUCUUCUUUCUCCAUGCCACAAACUGUUUUAUAAACCUCAGUCACAUCCCUCUCCACCCCACUUAGUGGAUUUGUGUUUUCAAACUUAGAAGCUGCAGAUGUGUUAGCCUUUCUCCUUCUUAUGUGCUGUUUGUGAGUUCCUGGAACAUGACACCCCACACCCCACCCCGCAACACACACGCACAGUUCCAUGUAUCUGUCCUCAGCAAUCACCGUGGAAUAUAAUCUGUGGCUUAUUUAACCCAGUAGCUUGCAGAGACUUUAACAGAUCACGCAGUCAUUGCACAGAAGCCGUCAGAAUGGAUGAGUUGUCAUGUCAGGGUGGAGCAUUCUCUCCCCUUCUCUGUCCCCCCCACCGCCGCUUCUGCCGUAGCCUGCUAGCUAUUAAAUUCUCCUGUAGAAAGGCUGCUGCAGGGUUGAUGUUUCCAUUUGCAGCGACAGAGAUCUGGAUCAGAUUUACUGUCCUGUCCAAUAAAACAGCAAUGGAAGCAUCAUUCCUGGUGCGGUAGAAGACAGACAGAGUUAUUCAAGUGCCGGGUACCCAGGGGGUGAAUGAGAAAGAGUUCUUAACAUUGAAGACGAAAGAUACGGAGGAAUUGAAGGCGGCCAGUUUCAAAGGAAGAAAAUGAGCUUUUCUUUAAAAAAUAAAUAAAAUAAAAUGCUAUUAUUAUUUGCAAAAACACAAUUGCGAGAGGGUCAAACAAAAGCAAGGUCCUGCACAUGCUUACUUGGAAAUAGUAUUGCGUUCCUGUUUGCCUAUGCAUAUUGCACCACUGAUUUAUACAGAGCCCUGCAGAGUUACACCCAGGUGACAUGGAUAAGGCUUCCCUACCUCCCUCAGGGUGCUUACAAUAUAAAACAGACAGUGGCGAGACAGAAGGAGAGAGAGAGAGAGAGAGAGAGAGAGAGAGAGAGAGAGAGAGAGAGAAGGUGGGUACAUGACCUCACAUGUAUCUAAAUCAAGAGUGGGGAGCAAUUUUCAACGCAAGGUCCACAUUCUCUCCUGUGCAACCUUCCAGGGGCCACCUGCCGAUGGUGGGUGGGACCAGUAGCAAAAGUGGACAAAACAAUAGGUGCCAUUUCCUCCCCCUUUUACAGGAGGCUACUUUUAAGGUGGGACGUGGGUGGCGCUGUGGGUUAAACCACAGAGCCUAGGACUUUCUGAUCAGGAGGUCGGCGGUUCGAAUCCCCGCGACGGGGUGAGCUCCCCUUGCUCGGUCCCUGCUCCUGUCAACCUAGCAGUUCGAAAGCACGUCAAGGUGCAAGUAGAUAAAUAGGUACCACUCUGGCGGGAAGGUAAAUGGCGCUUCCGUGUGCUGCUCUGGUUCGCCAGAAGUGGUUUAGUCAUACUGGCCACAUGACCCGGAAGCUGUACGCCGGCUCCCUCGGCCAAUAAAGCGAGAUGAGUGCCGCAACCCCAGAGUCGGUCACGACUGGACCUAAUGGUCAGGGGUCCCUUUACCUUUACCUUUACUUUUAAGGCACACUCGGAUACCCUUUCUCUGUUCUCCAUCCAGAAAAGCAAAAGGCAUCAUCAGUAUGCAAGUGCACGUUCCAGUCCAACCCACGUCCACCAUGAGGAGGGCAUGAAGCAGGGAUAGUCAGGGCUGUGGCCUGGGGAGAGGGAGUGCAGUUGGGAAGAGUCCUGAGGAUCAGGGGAUGCAACUUGAAGGCCCACCUUUGGCUCCUGACCUGAGGUUCACACCACUGACUUAAAGCUUGGUUACUGUUGGGACUGACGAUUUGAGGAAUAAGCCAAAGACCACGCAGGAGAGGUGGAUUCUGGAGACGAAUAUGAAGGAUGAGGGAGAGAUGAGAUCAGUGCUGGGUUCACAGAUGAAGUCAGCAAAUGCAGGUUCCUCCCCGUCCACCCCAUAAAUAAUUGGCGGAAUGGCCCAAGAGAGACUCCAUAGCAGCCAACUCCUAGGGCAGGCAUAGGCAAACUCUGGCCCUCCAGAUGGUUGGGACUACAAUUCCCAUCAUCCUUGACCACUGGUCCUGUUAGCUAGGGAUGAUGGGAAUUGUAGUCCCAAACAUCUGGCGGGCCAGAGUUUGCCUAUGCCUGUCCUAGGGGCUGAGGUCCCAAUAAAAUAUUUGAGCGGGUUGCCCGUUCCAAAGUUGAUGAACAUUGCCAUUCAAAUGGUGUGUGUGUACCAUAUCAUGUGAUCUAUUAUACCUGCCCCCCAUAUUUUAUUCAAGUUGACACCCCUGGGACUCUCUCCUAGCAGCUCAGCCACCCCAGAACCCUCCCCCUCCCAUCCCUGUCAGCAAGAGAAAAUCUGGCUACCCCUGGGUUACAGGCACCCAGAACUUGCCCACGGUUACUAAGGGGAAUGGAUUUAUUUCAUUGUUGAUUGGGGCAUUUAUAUGCCAACCAAUCGAACAUGCCCUCUGGGCAGUUUGCAGUUGUUUGUUUGUUUAAUAAUAAAUUGUUAGAUUUAUACAUUGCCCUUCAUCCAAAGAUCACAGGGCGGUUUACAAUAUAACCAAUAAUCAAUAAUAAUAAAAAACACACAUGUAACAGCUAAUAUCUCUACACAAACUGCAUCACUACAAAAUGAAUGUUGAACUGAAACCAUGCGCUCCAAGAAAAAAAAGCACUAAAACUCAAAAGUUUGUUUAAAAUUUAUGUGUGUGUGAAUGUACAGCUGAUGUUGUAAUGUGCACCUCUGCCCUGCACCACCCUCACUGCAACCAAGCAAGCAGUUCACAUAUUAUCCCCAUUUAAUGUAUGGUGAAUGAAGGCUGCGAGAUAGAGACACACAUCCAUUUCACUUUCAGACACCUCCCCCUUUUAAAAACACCUCUGCCGGGUUGGUGGUCCAUAAAAUACGGACUGGAAUUCCAGAUUGAGAUUGUGACCCUGCCGAGCAAAUGCCCAUCAGUGUGCUAAGGUAUCUUUGAUCACAGCAGGCUCCCUUUCACCUCCCUUCUCCUGCAGGUGAGGCAGAGGAGCCAUCAGCCAUUAAACAGUCACUGGAUAUGGGGGGAAAUAAUCUCUUGUGGAAUGCAGCUUGACCCCCUGCGACCCUUUGCUGCAAUUUCUCUUUGAGUGCAUUCCAGGUAGCAGGCAGAAGCAGAAGCAGGAAAAAUAGAAAGUGGAUUUUGGUGCUGAGAAAUCACAGCGGGAGUGGAGGAUUAACUCAGUCACUCCUGGAAGAAAUUUAAUCUGGAGUACUAGCGAGGGGUGUGUGUGUGAAAUCAGGCUUGGUGAAACAGCUCCAAUUGCUUCAUCCGCUCUUAAGUUGGGUGUAAAAUGCUUAGUCCAGCUUUGUUUGGCAAAGGGGUUAAAGGAGAGGCUCUUCUUGUCUGCCCAUAGGGGCUUCUUUGACAUCUGUCUGGCAAGCCAUGUGUCCAAGGACAUAUCAUGAACAGCUGAUGCAGUCUACACCUUGUUGCUAAGGUUGCCUUUUUUUUCUGGCUCUGCACCCCCGUUUUUAACAGCUGCCUGCCAUACAGAAAUUAACCAAGUGACCUUUUCCUCAUGGCCUCAUCGCUCUGUCAAGAAAAGUCCCCCCCCCUUAAAUUUCCGCCUGUCAGAGGAACAAUGGAAGAGGCCUUAUAUUACCCACACUGAACGACAGUAGCUUUCUGGGGUUUCAGAUAGGGGCUUUCCCUACCCUAAUCUCAUACCCUCCAACACCAUGAAAACAAAAGCUAGGACACCAUCUUCCCAGGUAUGUUCUUCGCUUUUUUUCUUGAAACAGAAUGGCAGCCAUUUUGGCCACUGUGAUCUGGUGCAAUUUUGGGCUGCGAUCUUGCCCUGAAAAAGCACUCCCCCCCCCCCCCGGGAGAAGUCAUGGUGCGAAACAAUGCGAGAUCCCAGUGGCCAAAAUGGCUGCCGUUCUCUAGCAAGGAAAAAAUGGGAUGUCCUGAUUUUUCCAGGACACUUGCGAUGUAUGCCACCUGGAGAAUCUGCGGGUUGAACUUGAGAGCUUCUGUGUGCAAAGCAGAUAACAACAACAACAACAACAACAACAACAAUAAAUAGUAAUAAUUUUAUUAUUUAUACCCCGCCCAUACAUCUGGCUGGAUUGCCCCAGCCACUGAGCUACAGUCUGGAUGCAGUUAAGCAGGCCAGUAGAAAGAGGGGGCUCUCCACUCAUGGUCAGUUCUCCUUUUCCAGGUUUUUCCUCACAUGAGUGUUAGUGCUGCUAUCCCUACCCAUAAUUCUCCUUAGAGCAGGGAAAUUUGUCUUUCACCCUUUUCAAUUUCAAGUUGAAAGACCUCUUAAGAUAACUCAAAACUUUGACCUUGCCUGGUCAACAGGGCAGGACACAGGUCCAGGUUCCAGCAAUGGCAGAGUUUAGAGACCCUGAAUUUAUGCUCCCUCGUGGUCUAGAUUUCGAUAUCCUUGGCUGGCUCUGAGAGCAAAGAGGACUUUUACUCUCUCCACCCCCCUCCUCUAGGAAAGAUGCCAAAAAAGCAGUUGGAGAAUCCCAGGAGCUGGAGAGGCACCCAGACCCAGUGCUUUUUUUCUGGGGAGGGACGCAGGUGUACGCAUACCCCUAAACAUCUUGUGAAUCUAACUUUGGCCUCAUUGAGGGGCAGUAUUUUAAUAGGAGUAGGAAAAUGAGAGUACCCUUAAACUUUUUUUUUUGAAGAAAAAAAAGCACUGCCCUAAGAGCAAACAAACAUUUCCUCUGCACGAGUGAUGCUUCAAUGUGGAAUGGGGAGAAAUGGGGAAGCACUGUCUAUUCUGCUGCGCAGGUAACACUUUCAAAGACAGAUGCUUGCCAAAAAUGUAUCGGUCAGAGACAAUUGGGAACUCCUCAUGUGCUAUUAAAAAAAAAUAAAAACCCACUAAUACGCUGGAACUAUCCAGUUAAACGCCAAUUACGAAACCCUGCAAGCUUCCCGGCUGCAGCAUAUUAAUAACACAAUUAAACAUGUAUCACUUAAUGCAAAUGGAAAAAAGAUAGAACUUAAUCGGAUGGCAGUGCAACCCCAGGAAGUGACCAUUUAGCAAACUAAUGUCUAUUUAAUUAUAGGCCCCUCCUCUGUAAUAAGCUAAAACACGCCAGUCUUUAUCAUUUCUUUUCUCAGAACUCAGUUGCAAUGCUAGUCUGAGGAAUUCCAUCUCGGCUUCCCUGCAUUGGCAGAGACUCAAGCCCUUGAACAGCUGUGGAGAUUAAAUUCCCCGAAUGGUCCUUGGCAUCUUCUCUUUUCUUUGCAUUGUCCAGCUGUAAACAGCUGGAUGGGACAUAUAUUCCCACCACCAGCUUCUUCUCCGGCGUUUAAUGUGGGUACAUCCCAAUAGAGAACUUUUGGAUCGUUGUGUUCUGCUAUAUCAUGGCUACUACAGAAUAAUCCUGCACUGAUAUAUGGUUUUCACCUUUUCCAAGUGGAUCCUGAGCCUAAGCACUCAUUUGGAAAUACAUAGUGAAGCCCCUAAAUUUAAAGCUCUGUGACGCCACUUUAAACAGUCCUGGCUUUGACCACAGAACUCUGGAAGCUGUAGUUUGUUAUGGGUGCUGAGAGUUGUUAGGAGACUUCCCCCUUCCCUUCGCAGAACUACAAUUCCCAGAGUUCCUGGGAAGGGGGAUUGAUUGCUAAACCACUCUGAGAAUUGUAGCCAGCCUCACUGCUGCCUUGCCUGUCUCCUUUCUAGUAAGGGUAAAGGUAAAGGACUCCUGGAAGGGUAAGUCCAAUCAAAGGCAACUGUGGGCUUGCAGCGCUCAUCUUGCUUUUCAGGCAGAGGGAGCCAGCAUUUGUCCACAGGCAGCUUUCUGGGCCAUGUGGCCAGCAUGACUAAACCGUUUCUGGUGCAAUGAGACACUGUGACAGAAACCAGAGUGCAUGGAAACGCUGUUUACCUUUCCGUCACAGUGGUACCUACUUAUCUACUUGCACUGGUGUGCUUUCAAACUGCCAGGUUGGCAGGAGUUGGGACAGAGCAAUGGGAGCUCACCCCGUCGUGCGGAUUCAAACCACCGACCUUCCAAUUGGCAAGCCAAGAGGCUCUGUGGUAUAGACCACUGCGCCACCCGCGUCCUUUCCAGUAAGACACAGCGACAUUGAUAAUGGGAGAUCAAGUCUCUACAUGACUGUAUUAUUGGGGGGGGGGGGGCUGAAUGCAUGAAAGCUUCUAAGCAUCUCCUCCCAGGUGUGCUUCAAAGCCCCCAUUCAGACCUUCGCAUUCAACAUGGGAAGAUUGGGGGUUGGAGUACACAGGGACAUCUGGGGGGUGAAACCAGCAUGCAGACCACCUCCUUGUGCCUAUGCCUCCUGAGCAAGGCUAGCGGUGUGAAUGGAGCCAUUUGUAUCAUUGUGUAUUCAUGUUGCUAGUCAGUGCGCAAUGCUAAAUAAUAAAAUAAUUUGCAAAAAUGGGUCAGCUCAUGGUAGGCCAGUUGAUGAGUGGAGCAUGUGGCGAACCACUGAGACGAAUGGUUUUAACAUGCAGAAACGCCAGCUUAAGGCUGAUUGAAGCCACGUCCUGCCAUGUCCAAACGGUCAUGCACAUCAACCCGCAUAAAUGGGAAAUGGCGCAUGUUUCCUGCUCCUCGGGGAGCCGCAGCAAUUUUCCUGCAGAAAGCACAAAGCCUGCGAGGUCAGGACCGGCUGGAGUCUCUCUGUGACGGGUGAUCAGUUCAGGCUGACAGGUGUGAAGUUGGCAAUUUUCUUUCCCAAAAUGGCCAGAUAAACAGGCUGGCAGCAGUCAGGGGAGAUGGAGAGGGACGUGGAGAUAAGGGGGGAAUGGAAACAGAAAAGAUGGGCAGCUGGAGCAGAUCACUCAGCCAGCUCUGUGACAGACCAGAAGCAAAGAAAAGGAUUAACCCUACACUGACUGGCCCACCCACUACAAGAAACAUCUUUGGGGUGAGAUGGAAAAGGAAUAGAUUUACAGAUCCAGGCAAGGAUAUCUCUGGGAUCUUAAAGGCAUGCACCCAUGAUGUAAAUGUGCAUAUGCUUAAUAGAUAGAUAGAUAGAUAGUGCAUAUGCUUAAUAGAUAGUGCAUAUGUGCAUAUGCUUAAUAGAUAGGGAUAGAUAGAUGAAAGAUAUAGAUAGAUGAUAGAUAGAUAGAUGAUAGAUAGAUAGAUAGAUAGAUGAUAGAUAGAGAUAGAUGAUAGAUAGAUAGAUAGAUAGAUAGAUAGAUAGAUAGAUAGAUAGAUAGAUAGAUAGAUAGAUGAUAGAUAGAUAGAUGAUAGAUAGAUAGAUGAUAGAUAGAUAGAUAGAUAGAUAGAUAGAUAGAUAGAUGCCUCUGGGAAAAUUAAGGUGGACUCUUGCCCCACCUUAGAUAGAUGAUAGAUAGAUAGAUAGAUGAUAGAUAGAGAUAGAUGAUAGAUAGAUAGAUAGAUAGAUACUGUAGAUAGAUGAUAGAUGAUAGAUAGAUAGAUGAUAGAUAGAUAGAUAGAUGGAUAGAUAGAUAGAUGCCUCUGGGAAAAUUAAGGUGGACUCUUGUCCCACCUCCCAUUCCGGCUCAGUCACCCUGUGGGCAAAGCUUUGUUUUUGUUUUUAAAGGGAGGGGAAGAGGCAGGAGGUGUGAGAGGUCUGGCACAUAAGAUCAGGGACUGGGGUCCCCAGGGCAUCCUCUAACUCUGCUCCUGCAUCCCAUCCAAGCAAAGAGAACCCUAAUAUUUUCAUUAUACAUAGGAGGCCAGUUGGAAAUAUGGUCCUGUGUUGAGCAGACUUAGGUCCGGUCCAACAUUUCACAGCUUUCAGUUCUCAUACCUAACACACACCCUCCAAGUGUCACGAUUUUCCAGGGACUGUCCCAGAAUUAAGAAAGCCCUCCUGGCUUCUGAUUUGAUCCUGGAAGGUCCCUGUUUCCCCAGCCAGUCCUGAGUUUGGGAAGGAGAAUGAGCCAAGUCAUAUCCUAAGUGAUGGGGGCAGCAAUAGCGGUGACUCAGUAAUCAAGCAGGAUAAAAGGGAUUAUGUCCUACAUAAAAAUGUUAGCCGUGUGUGUGUGUGUUCAAAGUCUAUGCAUAUGUAUUUUAAGAAAAUAAGUUGUUGUUGUUGUCUGAUUCUGCCUUAAUUCGAAGCAAGAUUUUAAAACUAGUGUGAUUUUAAAACUAGUACCUCUCCCUUGAACACUGGAAGCCAAUUAAAACUAUUUCUUAUAUGAUGAACAAGACUGUGUGUGUAUGCUAUGACUUAGGGGUUAAUGGUAUGAUCUGCAGUAAUUAAAAAGUAGAAAACAAAAUCACACCCCCAAUUUAAUGCAGUGUGUUUCAAUUGAUUUUAGUUCAUGCAUAUGCUUCAUGUGAGCUCUGGCUAAUACUAAAAGGCAGCCGUCCCCCAACCUACUGUAGUUGCCUCCAGAUGUUGUUAGACUACAACUCCCAUCAUUCCUGAUGACUGGCACUGCUGGCUGUGGAUGAUGGGACCUGGUGUCCAACUACAUUUGGAGCGGGUCGGCUUGGCAAGAGCAGGCUCAUUCUAUCACUUCAGGCCUCCAGGUCCUCAUCUAGUGGCAGGCCUGAAUUAGAUUCUGUGUUCGGGGACUCAGCUACAUUAGUUAAAAAAGAGUGUUUUAAAUGUGUUAUAAACAUGCAGCACCAGAUGGUGCUAUAGGGCCCAAAACAUUUCUAUGUGAUUUUACAUAGGGUUGUUGUUUAGUCGUUUAGUCGUGUCCGACUCUUCGUGACCCCAUGGACCAGAGCAUGCCAGGCACUCCUGUCUUCCACUGCCUCCCGCAGUUUGGUCAAACUCAUGCUGGUAACUUCAAGAACACUGUCCAACCAUUUUGUCCUCUGUCGUCCCCUUCUCCUUGUGCCCUCCAUCUUUCCCAGGAUCAGGGUCUUUUCCAGGGAGUCUUCUCUUCUCAUGAGGUGGCCAAAGUAUUGGAGCCUCAGCUUCAGGAUCUGUCCUUCUAGUGAGCACUCAGGGCUGAUUUCCUUAAGAAUGGAUAGGUUUGAUCUUCUUGCAAUCCAUGGGACUCUCAAGAGUCUCCUCCAGCACCAUAAUUCAAAAGCAUCAAUUCUUUGGCGAUCAGCCUUCUUUAUGGUCCAGUUCUCACUUCCAUACAUCACUACUGGGAAAACCAUAGCUUUAACUAUACAGACCUUUGUUGGCAAGGUGAUGUCUCUGCUUUUUAAGAUGCUGUCUAGGUUUGUCUUCGCUUUUCUCCCAAGAAGCAGGCAUUCUUUUACAUAGGGUAAAACGAUUUAAUUCAUAACUUAUUUAUAGCAUCCCCCCCCAUGUGUAGAUCCACCCCACGUAUUCCUGAGAAAGACUAAGGACUGGAUUAUUGUGGGGGUAAAUGUUAUGUACUGAAGUUCUCACCCUGGGCCAGCAGGGGGAUACUGUAGAUAGUUUUCACUCGGGCCCACAUAUGCAAAUAAGGGAUUGAAAGUGACGUUCAGUGAUUGGAUAGUUACAGAAAAUGGUUACUGUUGCGUUCUAGUGGAGCUCUAUAUAAGCAGGCUGGCUGAACCCUUCAGUUCAGUUCUGUUCUGGCCUCUGAAUAAACAAGAGCUGUUUGAAGAAUCGCUGUGUCAUCUGAUAUGUUCACCCACAACUUAACAGUAAACACAAGAAAGAUGGCAGAACCCUAUUGCAUGUUAUUUUUUUAUGUAAAAAUGAAAAAAGAGCUUCUAAGGAACUAAAUUACAUUCACAAGCAGGGGCGGAUCUACGAUGAAACUAAUGACGUUUAAACUUCAGGGACCCUAAUCCCAGAGGGGCCCUAGAAGCAUCUUUGGUCCCCAUUGCUUUUUUUUAAAAAAAAUUGAGUCCAGUAAACCCAAUAUGAGUUGCACUACUCAAAUUGAUUGAUUGAUUUUAUUUUUUCAUAUAUCUUUCAAAGUUUGAGAGUUAGUAGCACACACGUAAUUGUUGUGGUAAACAACCCCACAGAAGAAGAUAACAGUGGUUACCCAGACCUCGUCGCUGCUUGUGAGGAGGCCACCAUGACAUUUCAAGUUUCAGGGCACCCAAAAUGUAGGUCUGCCACUUAUUCCUAGGUGAUUCUGAGGGCCUUUACUAAAAAAAGAAAAGAAAAGAAAGGAAAGGCCACAAACAGACACAUUGCUCCCAGCUCAGACAUUGUCUCUCCUUGCCAGUUGCUGUCUGGCUACUGGCCAAGCUGCAUGCUUGCCCCUGAGGGCAGUGGCAACUGAAAGAAGGAGCUUGAUGGAAGGAAAUAGAACAUGAAUUCAAGCACAAGGUUCUCAGGUUGGGUACCAUACUUAACACAACUGCUAUAUAGUACAGUGGUACCUCGGGUUAAGAACUUAAUUCGUCUUUGAGGUCCUUUUUUAACCUGAAACUGUUCUUAACCUGAGGUACCACUUUAGCUAAUGGGGCCUCCCGCUGCCGCCGCAUGAUUUCUGUUCUCAUCCUGAAGCAAAGUUCUCAACCUGAGGUACUAUUUCUGGGUUAGCGGAGUCUGUAACCUGAAGCAUCUGCAACCUGAAACGUCUGUAGCCUGAGGUACCACUGUAUUUUAACUUUAGGAUAAGAAAAAUCUGUGGAGACAGUGAUCUGGUCUUUAAAAGGAGUCCUUUCUAUAUAAUGUUGGCUUAAAGACAUAGCCUUGAAUAUCUGCUGGGAAGGAAAUGUCCGGAUUUUCCAACUGUUUCAAUGUAUUAUUCAGGGGAAGAGAGACACAGUCGAGAGGCCAUGAUGAAUGCUGAGCAGCCGUUAAAGCAGCCUCUAGCCCAGGGGCCGCCCAUUAUGUUGGAUCACUGGGCCCAUUUGGAAUUUUGAAUAAGGGUUGCAGGUGCCAGUCACAAAAUGGCUGCUCUGUGGGGGAUGUGCCUUAACAUAAAAUGGCUGCCAUAUCUGAAAAAAAGCAGAAGAAGGGGCAAAAUAUGGGGCAGGCGUGGCCCCCAUUAGAUUCCACAUCUCCAGUGGAGGUGAAAAGGCAGCUACAUCAGGACCGCCACUCUCAUUCAAAGAGAAGCUUCUUUUUGCUCCUUUCCUUUGUUCAGAAAGGGAAGGAGGGUGGGCGUCCAAUCCUUGCAGUGGAAUAUGGGCAUGUUUCAGGGAACAUGUACAGUAUACAAGAGGCUGAGUUGAUGCGGACAGGAACUAAGCAGGAAGAGCAAAAGGUAUCUCAUUGUGCUGUGGAUUUCUGAGACGGAUUUUGCUCAGACCUUUCAUGGGUGCCAUAGGAGGUACUGGGAAGCACAGUGGCCCCUUUGGGCACUAUGUUGGUGCCCCCUGCUCUAGCCUGACUGGGAAUGCAGGGCCAGCCCUAACGUUGGAUAGAGUGGAGUAGAUGCCGAGAUGGUGAGGAAAUGGAGAACAAAGCUGUGUGUGCCACAAAGUCUGACUUGCAUGCCUUAGUCUGCUGCUCUCAAGCUAAGUCAAUCCUGAUACCCCCUGCCUGCCUGAUUGAUUGAUUGAUUGAUUGAUUGAUUGAUUGACUGACUGAAUAGUAUUCGUAUACCACCACUUGAUUGUAAAAAUCUCUGACAGGCCCCAAAUAUAUGGGAGACCGUCUCCUUCUACUGAGAAUCUCCUGGGUGUUGUGAUCAGCAGAGGGGUCCCUCUUAGUUGUUCCACCUCCCUCAGAAGUCUGGGGUGGUUGUUACCUGGGAGAUGACCUUCUCUAAGGUAGCCCUUAAAUCCUGGAUUUUCCUACCCACCGGGGCGAGUCUGGCACCUUCACUAUACAACUUUUGGUUCUGUUCAUUUCAAUUCACAAAUCAAUUUCAUUGCAAUGGGCCUACUCUGAAUAGAUUUUAGUUGGCUGCUACCUUAUAGGGUUGCAUCCAAUGAGCAUGCCCAUUGCGGUCAAUGGGCAUGACUAACUUACGAUUCAUUCACUGCAGUGGGUUUACUCAGAGUGAAAUGUGGUUGCAUACAACCUUAUAGCUAUGCCUAAAGCUGAACUGUGCUGUGAGGAGCUCUGGCAAUGCUGUUUCUAAGCUGUGAGGGCAAUUUGAGAAACUCUCCCCCCUCUCCGCCCUGCUCUCUCUGUGGGAAUUUUGGACUCACACCUGUUCCUCGUUUGUUCCACGGAAACCCAAACUGGGAGUGCACCCGCUCCAGGCUCCCUGCAGCUCCAACAGAGCAAGAGAGAGCCCCAUGUUAUGGUUUUAUCCCCUCAUUGCUCAGCUGUGAGAGGGACAGGCCUGGGAAAAGAAAGGCAGAAAUUCCCUCUAGGUUGUUGCUACAGUGCCAUUUGCCACGUUGCAGCCAGGCCCUCCCUCCCUCCCGUUUCCAGUUCAGUGCCCAAUCUGUGUGCCUUUGUUCUCUUUUCUGCGCUUGGCUAGCUGUGUUGAACCAGCUGUUAGGAAUCUAGAUUUAUACAUACUAGGGAUUUGUGGGGCCUCUUCCCCCACCCCCCCAAGCCUCGAGAUCUUUCAUUCGUCUUAUCAAGACUCACUUUCCUCUCAAUUCUUCAGGUGCUUUUCCAGAGCAAGAACCUCAAAAUUCCUUUCGAAAAAAGCCAUGAGAAACAGUAGUUCCAGGGAAAUGGUCUGUUGGACUAUUGCUUCCCUCACCCCUCACCUUUGGCCAUGCUGGUUUGGGCUGAGGACAGCUGGAGUUCAACCACAUCUGGAGGGCUACAGCUUCUCCACUCAUCUCAUACCAACUUUGGCCAAUGCAAAGACUGUUUCUUCACCAGCUCUCGACUCCCAACAGGGUCUCCAGGACAGGUGAGGACUGUGAUGCCCAUAGGACAGCUGGACUAGCAAUCCAUGACAGGAUUAAUCAACAUAAUGACUACAACUCCCAUCAUUUGUGACCAAUGGCUCUGCUGAUUUGGGCUGGUAGUAAUUGAAGUCCAACAACAUCUGGAAGUCACAAUCCCUGGUAUGUGGUAAUGCUUUCCUUCUGAGGGCAUCAAGAAAGGGUGUCUUAUCAUUCAUCCCUUGAGGUGUUCUCUCCUCCUUCCAUUUCUGAGCAUUGAGAAUCCUGGAAACCCUUUCUAGUCUAUUUAAAAAGCUGUUUCCCCAUAUGUGAAGACCACAGCAGGGUUUGAAGUGUAAGAAAACAGGAGAAUAUAUUAAGAAACAUGUUAGGAUGGAAUUAGAUAAGACAGAACCUUAAACCUCAAUUGUCAGUAUUUUGGGUUAUAAACAUCGAUGCUGGGUGAGCGGGAAGUUAAAUUGGAAUUGUUGAAUUUGAAUAUAACUGUUGAGCAACAAAUUAUUUCUAUAUGGAAAAAAGAAUAAAAUAUUGUUAUAAAAAAGAAAAGAAAGAGUGUCUUAUCAAAACUCUUUGGGUUCCCUACAGUUCCUUUGCUGAUCUAACCAAGGAACAGCCUGAAAGUUGGCAGCAACUCUUAGGCGAUUUGAGCAAUGCAUUUCACAAGGACAUAAAAACAGCCUGCUAGACCAGAAGCAUUCUCCCUCAGACAGUGGAGGUAGAACAUAACCACCAUUAUUUACCAAUGCUCAGCUCUCAACAGGGCCCCCAAGAGUCAAGGAAAGGCAAAAAGGUGAUGUCCGCAAUGCAGCUCAGCUAAACAUACACAUCAAUGUUCUCUGUGGGUUCAUUCCCAUAGACAGCAAUGGAUGUGCAGUGCCACUGUUAGAAUUCCACUCGUUUUAGUAACACUUUUUUUUGGCUUCUAGUGAAAUUCUGCUGACGCGUCUUCAAAUUUGUUCUGAAAUUUGCUGCGAGGGGGGAAAACCAAACAAACCCAAACCCAAGGGCAUCUCAAACACAUACACAGCACUGAUCCGCUAAGCGGCAAGGUAGUCUCUGCUGGAGCUCUGAGCUGACAGAUGGUAUUGGAAGCCGAAGCUCCUUGGGCAUAGGCCAAAUGCUGCUCUGAUAAGGAAGGGCAAUGGAAGAGCAAGAUGGCUGCCAGACCAGACCAAAGGAAGUACCAUAACCUUCCCCUUCUAGAGCAGAUCCUACAAGGAGCCUUGAGGCCAAAUCCAUCUAUCCAGACAGUCCCCCUCCACCGCUGCCACUGUCUAUCUAUUUCCCUUUCCCCCAAAGGCAACCUGAAAUGACAGGUCCCCAGCUGGCACUCAGAAGGACACACCAUGGCUUCUUCUGCCAGCCAGGGACCUAGUGACACAUCCCUGUGAUCCAAAGUGACAGCCACAUCCUGGUUGAAGAUCAUAGUGGGGGUGAUUUCUCAUUCUUUGGCCCUUUCCGAGCCAGCUCCAGUGGAAAGGAAAAAGAUGCUCCCCCAGAUCUCAGCUUUCACUCACAGAACCACAUUUCCUAGGGGUUCCUUGGGCAGAGAGCUCAGAAGCUAGACACACAGGAAUCUGAUGAACAUAGAGCAGUUACCUCAAAGGGUGAUGAGCUAGGGGUUUUCCAGAUAUUUUUGGACUACAACUCCCAUCCGCCCUGACCAUUGGCCAUGGUGGCUAAUGGGAGUUGGGAGUCCAACACUAACCGGAGGUCCAUUGGUUCUCCACCCCAGGUUACUGAAAAUGAAAUUUCAAGAUGGCGAUCGGAUUUCCCUGCCUUAAAAGUGAAGUAACUCUGCCAUUUCAAAUGAAGGUGGGAAAUUGUACGACGGAUGACAUUCCUCGAGUCGUGGAAUUUCUGUAAACUUCUAAGAUGCCACUGAGCUUUACCUAAUCAUGAAAUCUGGAUAGUCCUAUUCAGGUAAGGAAAACAUCUGAUGAACUUCAGUGAAGGCAAUCCCACCCCCCCUGGCCCCCAACUUUAAUAAGUUACCAAGAGUUCUGAAGGGCAGUUUGUACAUCCCAGACUAGGGACAAGCAGAGAGAGGACGGAGACUGUGGCCCAUGAACUGCAAGGGCAUAUCAGGUGGCAUUUUAAAAAGAAAAGCUUAGCCCCUCAGAUGGUUAUUAACACAAGCAACUUUGUGGAGAGGUGCCCCCAUGGUUAGAGAUGAGGCAGGCAGUCACAGGUCAGUUUGGGCAGCCCCCAAAUGUGGGCGGCCUAUAGCCUCAACAACAGUAUGGCUACAUCCAUGCACAGAAACGGACAACUGGUGGAUUGGCUUAGCUGUGAAACCAGACUUAUUGCCCCACUUGGGCUUAGACAAACCCAGUAGCAUGAACAGUUUCUAGUCAUGAUAGGUAUACUUUGCUUCCACUUUCAGAGACAGCAUGACUCUGAAUACCAGUUGCUUGGAAUCACACCUGGUGGAGAGCACUGUUGCAUUUAGACUCUACCUGCGAGCUUCUCAUAGGCAUCUGGUUGGCUACUGUGAGUACAAGAUCCCGGUUUGGACAUCCCUUUGGUCUGAUCUAGCAGGGCAUUGAAAUGCUCUCUCUUUUUGUGUGUAUAUUUGGGCACAUGAGCAGGCCAUGCCCCAGUGGAGAAGGGAGGAAAGGGUCAAGAGGCUCGUAGGCAGUCAAUGUCUAUGCUAGUGCCAUGCAGACACAGAAGGGGUUGGUUGGAGGUAGGCUUCUUUCAAGGUGAUGGGGAUGUCUUGGGAGGGCAUGUGGGGAACGAGCUUGGGAACCUAGGAAGCUGCCUUACUCCCAAGUCACACUACUGGUGCUCCUAGCUCAGUAUCAUUUACACAGACCAGCUCUUCAGGGUUAUCUGAAGCGGGACAAUCCCAGCCCUUAGUGGAGAGUGAGCUUAGGAGUUUCUGUCUGCAGAGCAGAUACUCUAACCCUGAGCUACAGCCCUUAAGAUAAAGGAAGCUUCUUUCUAACGAAUCACACCACUGGUCCACCCAGUUCUAUUGUCUACACUAAUGGGCAGUGGCUCUCCAGGUUUCAGACAGGGAUCUCUCUCAGACCUACCAGGAGAUGCCAGAGACUGAACCUGGGACCCUCUGCAAGGAAAGGUGAUGCUCUGCCACUUAGCUAUGGAGAAAUGCUGUAAGAGGAAGAAGAGGCUUAGGACAGGGGUCAGCAAACUGUUUCAGCAGGGGGCCGGUCCACUGUCCCUCAGACCUUGUGGGGGGCCGGACUGUGUUUUGAAAAAAAAAUAAAUGAACAAAUUCCUAUGCCCCACAAAUAACCCAGAGAUGCAUUUUAAAUAAAAGGACACAUUCUACUCAUGUAAAAAUAUGCUGAUUCCCGGACUGUCCGUGGGCCGGAUUUAGAAGGCGAUUGGGCUGGAUCCAGCCCCCGGGCCUUAGUUUGCCUACCCAUGGCUUAGGAGGAACCCCUUGCACUUUUCCCCUGAAGAAAAGGGAGAAUUAGAGGACAAGGAGAAGGGAAGGGAAGGGAAGGAAGUGUUUGCCUGCCAAGCAGCUUCCUUCCAAAAUGGCUUCUAUGCACCAUAAUCCAGCUACUACAAGCAGACCGACAGCAGGUUAACAGAAGCCGCAGGGAGCCUGAGAGUAGCUGAUGUUGCUGCCAGUUCCCCCUCCAUCCAACAUAUAUUUGCUGGUGGUCCAGAGGAGGCAAAGAACCAGACCCGCUGCAAGCUUCCAAAGAAGAAACAGAUCCAGGCGCUCCAGCUUCCUUGUUUUAAAAUUCUUUAUUUAUAAAAAAGUACAUUUCUUUCCACAGUUGAACCACUAGUUCUCUCUUUUUUAAAAAUUUUAUACAAGUAAAAGAGGGCAAAGCCAUUAUUGCUUCCCCCAAAAUGAAAAAUCCCCCAGUUCAGCCCAAACAAAAAAAGGAACGACGACAAAAGUUAUUAUUACAAAGAAUGGGGAAACAAAAUAAAAAGAAAUAAAAGAAAAGAAACAAAAAAUAAUAAUCAUAAAAGCAAUUUCAGUCCAUUACAUUAUUCAUAAUAUUCUUCUCUCUCUCUCUCUCUUUUUACAAAAGCACUUACAACACAGAUUACCAAAAAAGUAGAUUUUUUUUUCUCGAAUGCUGUUUUUAUUUAUUUAUCUUAUGUCACAAUGAUCAUUACAGCAGCAGGUGGGAUGGGAGGAGAGGGGAGGAAAAGGGUGUGGAUACAGUCACGAGUGGAUGAAAACACUUUGGAGAUUUUCUUUUUCUUUUUAAAUGGAAAAUAAAAUAAUCAUCCAAGUUUUCAUCUGGUGUGCAAUUAAUCCCCAUGGUUAUCUAUUUACACCGGUUUGAGUAUCUUACCCUAGAGAGCCAUUACAUAUACAUUCGCUUUCAAGAGAAGAAGGACCCACGGAAUGUUCUAGCAAAACAGAAUACCCCCACCCUCCCCAUUUAGCACCACGUUAACACAAAAAAAUCACACCCUUGUACUUUUGGUUAAUCGUUCCAGAGUCAGGAACGCCCUCGGGUUCCAGUAGUGACACGGACGACCAGGGUUUAAACCGGGGCCUGGUUUAUGGAACUACAUUGGGAUCAGGCUGUGCAACAUGGUUCCCUGUGACUGCCAAGUGGUAUGAGGCUUCAGGAUUGGCUAGCCCGAGUUUGAAUAAAUACCAGGAUCCUAGCCCUUUGUCUUUGUAAGGUCAACCAGUGAUAUGUUCGCCUGUUCUCCACUUCAGGUAAAGACACUGAUCUCAGGGAUCACCUGAGCUGGAAAGGUUUUGUAUUUGGAUAGAGUGGCUCGCCCCACCACCCAAAAGGCUGGUCACUCUGAGUGUGGCCACCAUAGGUGCCAACUCUCUGGGAUCCUGGGUGCCCAAGCACCCACAAAAUUCCCCAUGAAGGAACCCAGCACCCACAAAUUUCGGUGCCAGGGUCAUGCACAUGGCACCCCCGGGCCUGGGCUCCCACAGUCGCUGGGCCAAGCUGGCCACUAUAGUUGUAGUCAACUUGGAUUUAGGCCAGGAUUCCACCUUAAACAGUCAUGGCGCCUGGAAGCUGUAGUUUAUUAUGGGCUCUGUGAGUUGUUAGGGGAUUCUGAUACCUGCUGCAAUUCCCCGAACUCCCCACGAAGAGGGAUUGAUUGUUAAACCACUCUGGGACUGUAGCUCUGGAAGGGGAAUAGGAGUCUCACAACAACUCUCCGCACCCUUAAAAAACCACAGCUCCCAGAAUUUGGGUGGGGGCAGCCAUGGCUGUUUUGUAGUGCUUCAAAUGUAUGACAUGAAUGUGGCUGUAGAUUCCCAACUAUUUCCCUGACAGAAUUCUCAGGGAGCCUAAGCAUACCUCAACUGCCCACUCACAUGUUCUGGCAUCCAAUAUUUUGUCUUCAUUUUAAGGAUCUGAAAAACCCCUUUGGCCAAAUCUCCUGGCGAUUCUACCCAAAUAAUGAGCGGCUUUCCGGCAUCACCACCCCCUUAAAAAUCUAAAUGGCUUCCCCAGUAUGCGUCUUGUUUUGCAAUCAAGACCACCCCAACGUUGGUGCCUCCCCCUUACAGGAAACCUUCCCUUUCUCUCUCUCUCUCUUAAAUGAGCUGAAUAAAAAUUAUUCAAAGGGAGGCGAGGAAAGAAAAUCGGUCCCAUAAUUAAAUAAGGGAAAUCAAAUCGCUACGGUAAAUUGAGAUGGGUAAUCCCAGACAUAAAUCCCAUCAGAAAAACACCUGCCAUGUUCUAUUUCAAACGGAUUUAAUUUGGCCGAUAACACAGUUUUCUUCCCCCCACCUUUUUUGCUGGGUGUCCAGGAAUGGGGGUGACAGAGAUAAGUUUGUGCCCAGAAGCACUAUUCUCCUACCACCCCACUGCACAUCUUUGGGAUCAACCUCACAUUAAUCAAAAUGGGCAAGGGAUCAAGAAAAAAUGGGGAGUGGUUCUAACAACAGACUAUUAGCCAUAAAAGUUAAAUGGAACCUCCAGGUCAGGGGCAGUCUACCCCUGAGAACCAGAUGUUGCAGACAACAGGAUAGGGGCUGCUGCUUUUGUGCCAUGGCUGUGCAAUUUCAGGCAGCAGAUGGCUGCCUGGUGUUGGGAACAGGAUGUUGGGUCUCUAGCAGUCUCUGCCAACUUGGUGCUUUCCAGAUGUUGCUGAACCACAACUCCCAUCAGCCCCAGCAAGUAUGGCCAAUGGAUAGUCACUGAUGGGAGUUUUAGUCCAGCAACAUCUGGAGGACCAAAGGAUUGCCUGCAACCGCUUUACUGUGUCAUCUCCAAGUCUCUGGACCAAACAGCAACCAAUGUGUCUUCCUUCUGUAACGCGGCUUGUGCCAAAGUUGCUAUGCACCCCAAUCGCAUACAAAAUGGCCACCUCAACACCUACAGUCUGACUCAGUGGCUGGAGAGCCUGAUACAAGAUGUAACACUCUAAGAAGUACAACAAGAAUGAGGAACUCCCAGUCUGCACCUUAAGGGGCUUCUCUAUCAGGCCUGUGGGACCUCUUCAUCACGCCAGCAGUUUCAGUACAAGCUGGUCUUCAAACUAGCAGCAAAGUGGAUUGAGAAGAGAGGUGGAGACAAUAAAUGGGAAAACUGGGGGGGGGGCUCAGAAUGUGCUCGGAGAUCCUUAUUAACAAGGACUGAAUGUGGCCCAAAUGUUGGGCCAUGCACAGCCAAUACACUAGGUGUGGGGGUGAAGAUAUGCUGAUACCUAGAAGAAGAAAACUAUAGCUGAACUUAUGGUUUGGUUUUUUGUUUUACAUUUCCCCAAACUGCCCCAGUCCUUCUCCUUUUGUUGCUGCCACUUAUUUUGCAGUGGAUGCAACACUGUUUUACUCUCAUAAGUUGGUUAAGAGUGAAUAGUGAAGACAGGAAGCAUUGUCCUCAUUCUGAACUGGCUUCAGAACUAUGCUAUAUCACUAUGGGCAUCAACCAGAAGCCAGAUUGUGGGCAAUCCUUCUUGCCCUCACUCUAAAGGGGCUUCUGGGAGAGAAAACAUGAUGGUUGUCAUGUUAAAGUUCAUUUCCCCCCUUUUAUGCCCUAACUCUGCCUUUUCCUUCCUUCCUUCCUUCCUUCCUUCCUUCCUUCCUUCCUUCCUUCCUUCCUUCCUUCCUCUUUAUGCCUCUGGUGGCUCACCAGAAAAAGCAGUGGAACCCAAAACUGCCUACGGUUCUAGUAAGAAUUUUUUUCAACUGGAACUUAGUUCUGGCACCUCUCAGAUGGGUGCCAUUGCUAUUAUAAGAGAACAAAUGAGGCAUUCGUGGUGAGUUCUGGCACCUCUUUUUCAAGAAAAAUAAUACUGGUUCUAGUCUUGGUGAUUCCUGGCAAGGCCUCUAUGAGCUGCGCUCUUCAGGACUUGGUGUAAUGGAUGUGAAUCAAGAGUUAACCGGGCAUCCCCUUAUGCAUUAACCAGGUUAGCUUUCGAAUCAACCCAUCCUCCCGCUUAUUUUAAUUUUUAAAUUUACAUUGCAACCAAAUUUUGGGGGGAAAGAAAAGAAAUUUUUAUAGGUUUGCAGUCUGUGUUCUGUUCAAGCAACACAUGCUCAGAAAUGAUAAAAGUAGCCUAAAGCAGUUUCAGAAGAUUUCUGAAUACUUCUCAGAUGGACUUUCCACCUUUCUGAGGUGCUAAUAAACCUUUGCCUAAAACAAAAUUCAAGGAAAGCGAGGAAAACUGAGCCCAUGCUCAAUAGCUGCUUGCAUUUCAAGAGACACAAACUUUCCUAGGAUUACUGGUGGUUCCUGGUUCUUGGUGGGGUGUUGGUGGAGAAAAGCAGAAAUCUUGUAUCUCGACAAAACCACCUGAUGCUUCUAUACAUCUAUGGGUCUAUACUGCAGUUGUUCCCAACUAUGAGUCCCCAAAGGUCACUGGGUGACCCACUGUCAUCUCCAGAAAGCAUAGCCACUGGCCAGGGAUGAUGGCAACAUGAAUCUCCAGAUACCUACAGCUGCAGCAAUGGAUGCUCCUAGUGUUAUCAGAGGCCUGGCACUGACAAAAGCCUUGAUCCAUAAUUUUUUGUUCUGUUUUUUUUGCUUUUACAGGCAUCUUAUUUCACGCUAUGGAUUAACUGUGAAUCAUUUAGCCUUGCUAAUUAGGGUCCCGCGGGGGUCUUGCAUCCAAUUCAGGGCCGCUUAAUACAUGCUGAAUUUCCUACACAGAUUAUCGAUGCUGCGCAAACAGCGACGCGGCACCCGCGCAUUCUCCUGCAUGCCAAAUUAACACCCGCCUCUUUUGCCUCGCAAGCGUGGCCUGGAAGCUCCAGUUGGGUGCUGUCGUACGUCUAUAUGGAAGCGGUAUCUGCCGCAAACCUGGAGUCCUGCUCGCUUCAGCAGGCACGGUACGAAGGCUGGUGGUUGCUUUGCCUUCCCAUUCCAUGGCAGAUUAAGAAGAACAAGUGCAUAGAUGUACAUACAGGAAAUCUGUCUUGGGCGUUGGACUUCAAAUUGACUCAUUACAUGGGCAAUUGGAGAGAGGCUUUUCAAAUGGAGGAUAGGUUUGUCUGUGAUAUUGGCCAUCAUAUGCCUACAGAUCAGAUGUGUCCAGGAUCAAAACAGCAUAUAUAAAGUCCCACCUGCAUUAUGCAUUUAAAGCAUUAUCAUACCACAACUGUGGCACAUAAUUUAAGGGUGCUGAGCAUUGUUAAGAGACCUCUAUUCCCUCCACAGAGUUGCACUUCUCAGAGGGGUUUAACACAAUCCCUCUUCCAGGAGAAUUAUGGGAAUUGUAGUUCUGCGAGGAGAACAGGGGCUGCCUGACAAGUCCCAGGAUUCUUAACGAACUUUACUUCCCAGGAUUCUUUGUUCGGGGUAGGCCAUGGCUGUUUAAAGUGGUAUGGUAUUGCUUUAAACAUAUAGUGCAGCUUAGCCAGCAUAACUUCCUCCCAAAGAAUCCUGGGCACUGUAGUUUUGACUGUGUUGAACAUGCUCUACCGUUUCCAGGGCUCUCUGGGGAGAGCGUAUGACUGCUGAAGCCUGCAGAGUAGAUCCCUCCAAGAGGAAUGCAGCAGAUGCUGCCUCUGUUUUUGCUAGAGCCUUUGACAAACUGCUCUGUGCCCUGUGGCUAUUGAAGACACAGAUGCAGUAUUUAGAUCAGGACUUGCUUUUUGUUUGUUUGAAACCUUUCUCGUUUUCUCUUACAAGGAGCCAACAGCUUACGUACAGAUCUCUCUGUGCAUUCCACAUGGCCAUGGUCUUGAAGCCAUCUGGAGGGAUAUUUGGGAUCUUGGAUGUAUCAGAUUUCACUACAAGAAAACACUGUGGACACUGAAUAUGCACAGGUUGGGGUGCCUAAGCCCAAGAUCCACCUCUGAUCUAUGCAUAUCCAGUAUCCAUGGACACGGGACAUCUGAGAGGGGCUCAAGUUUCCAGAUCUCAUUACUGCCUGUAAAAACACCUCUGUGUUUUUCCUCUGUUCCUCACCCCUUUCUUGAAAAAAGCAAAUGACGCCCCCUCCCACCAUCCAAAUUAUUUGAAAACUCAACUCUCAACAUAGGAGGAAAUGAUGCACAUCUAGUCAUAUCAAUGCAAACAAAUGUGUCGUUUAUUCAGGUUGCAGAAUUUCGGCCUCCCGGAUGCAGAAAAUUUUGGAAUCCAUUUCCCCUGCGGUAUACAUGUCCUGCUCCUGCCUUCCCUCAAGACAUGCAACAGAUGGAGGGGGUAUUUCGUCCUACCCUGAAAGAUGUCACAUGGCAGAAGUCCCCUGUGGUCAGACCGAGAGAAGCCUCCAGCGAUUAACGAGCCGUGGGAAUGAAAGCUAUGCACACAGUGAGCAGCCACUGAAAAUGUUAACCUCCUCCUUGUGGCAAUGGCUGCUGCCUGCCAAGUCCCCAAUAUUUAAAGAAACGCUAUCAGCACGCCCACUUCCAUUCCCUGCAAGCAAUGAUGGGUAUGAAUGCAUGGUCAAGCAAACACUGAUCCUGUGGAGGAGGCAACAACUUGCCUGAUCCAGCCCUUGGAGAUUUCUUCCUCCUUCAUAGAGCAACACUUGAGAAUGUGGGACGUUGCCCUUUGACUAAGCCAGGCCUCAGGAAGCUGCCUUAUAUGGAGUCCCUCUAAGGUAAAAGCGGUAAAUGACCCCAUGACGGUUAAGUCCAGUCAAAGGCGACUAUGGGGUUGUGGCGCUCAUCUCGCUUUCAGGCCGAGGGAGCCGCCGUUUGUCCACAGGCAGCUUUCCAGGUCAUGUGGCCAGCAUGACUAAACUGCUUCUGGCGCAACAGGACACCGUGACAGAAGCCAGAGUGCACGGAAACGCCGUUUACUUUCCUGCCGCAGCGGUACCUUUUUAUCUACUUGCACUGGUGUGCUUUCAAACUGCUAGGUUGGCAGGAGCUGGGACAGAGCAAUGGGAGCUCACUCAUCGCAGGGGUUCGAACUGCCAACCUUCUGAUUGGCAAGUCCAAGAGGCACAGUGGUUUAGACCACAGUGCCACCCGCAUCCCCUGUGGAGUCCAUUUUCCUCAGUACUGUCUCCGCUAACUGGCAGAGGGUCUAUGGGAUUUCAGGCAGGGUUCUCUUCCAGCCCUACCUGGAGAUGCCAUUGGGGGUCGAACCUGGGACCGCCUGCAUGCAAGCCCACCUUUGAGCACCGAGCUAUGGCCUGUCCCCUGCAGCCUUCAAGUAACACUGAGCAUGUGGGAAGGGAAUCACUCUGCGCAGCCAACCAGGAGCAAGAGGUUGGCAGGAGUUAGCAGAGAGAGCCACGGGAGCCGAAUGGCCCAUUGGCAACCUCUAUGUUGGGCCCAAUUUGACUCUGUGGUGCCCCUUCCUUGUUUAUCUAUGUGUGGGGGCGGGGGGGGGAGAAAGCAAAUUUUGAUAACACACAUAGUUUUCUGAACACAUACCAAAAGCCUCAUGAGGCAUGCCCAUUGUGGGAAACUUAGGGAGAUAGGAAGCUUGCCUUAUACUGAGGCAGACCACUGUUUGUCCAUCUAGCUUAGUACUGUCCGCACUGAUUGGCAGCAGCUCUCUGGGAUUUCAGGCAGCCCUAUGUGGGAGGUGUUAUCGGGAUCUGAACUCCGGACCUUCUGCAUGCAAAGCAGUGCUCUGCCAUUGAGCUAUGGCCCUCGGACGCUCCACCCCUCCGACUGAAAAUAACAAUAAUCGUUAAAAAGCAAAGCGCGAACACAGGAGGAAAAUUGCUACACUUGCCCUCCUGGAUAUCAUGCAGUUUCCUGUUGUACUUUCACGGUUGUUCUUUUGAUGAUCAAGUCAUUUGUUAUGUUUCCUAAAAAAACACACACACACAAGGCUGGUGGAUUUCGCUUCCCCACCACAAGUGCAUUGUGG